rnacentral:rRNA from 1 species
GACGAACGCUGGCGGCGUGCUUAACACAUGCAAGUCGAACGGAAAGGCCCUGCUUUUGUGGUGUGCUCGAGUGGCGAACGGGUGCGUAACACGUGAGUAACCUGCCCUUGACUUUGGGAUAACUUAAGGGAACUGGGGCUAAUACCGGAUAGGAGCUCCUGCUGCAUGGUGGGGGUUGGAAAGUUUCGGCGGUUGGGGAUGGACUCGCGGCUUACCGGCUUGUUGGUGGGGUAGUGGCUUACCAAGGCUUUGACGGGUAGCCGGCCUGAGAGGGUGACCGGCCACAUUGGGACUGAGGUACGGCCCAGACGCCUACGGGGGGCCGCGGGGGGGCGUCUUGCCCCGUGGUCGGGAGCCUGAGGCAGCAACGCCGCGGGCGUGAUGACGGCUUGUGGGUAGUAAACCGCUUUCGCCUGUGACGAAGCGGGUGUGACGGUACUGGGUAAAGAAGCACCGGCUCACUACGUG